rnacentral:lncRNA from 1 species
UUAUUACAAACCGAGAAGUGAAAAACAAUGUUAUCACCCUAUUCAAAGGGUUGAGAGAGUCUUGUUUGGAGUUGUGUGGGGUUGAAUAAUUAUAUUUGUAAUAUUUCAGAAGUUGGUAGAAAAAGAAAAUAGAAAAGAAAAAAAUGAAUGAAAAAAAAGAAGACGAUGGUUUAUACAUGUCAAUACAUACUUCUUAUGAAAAGCAAAAAAUAAAGAAAAAAAAGAGAAAGGAGAAGAAAAAUAUGAACGAAAACAGUUA